AUACGAAGGGGGCGUAGCGUUGUUCGGAAUUACUGGGCGUAAAGCGCAUGUAGGCGGACAUUUAAGUCAGGGGUGGAAAUCCCGGGGCGUCAACCUCGGAACUGCCUUUGAUACUGGGUGUCUAGAGUGUGGAAGAGGUAAGUGGAAUUCCGAGUGUAGAGGUGAAAUUACGUAGAUAUUCGGAGGAACACCAGUGGCGAAGGCGGCUUACUGGUCCAUUACUGACGCUGAGGUGCGAAAGCGUGGGGAGGC
rnacentral:rRNA from 1 species